rfam:Hymenolepis diminuta genome assembly, scaffold: HDID_contig0000052
GUCGGAUAUGGGGAUAUGUACCCGCAAAGUGCCUUGGGUAAAGCGGUUGGGUGUCUUUGUGCAAUAGCUGGUGUACUCACUGUUGCUUUGCCUGUUCCUGUAAUCGUCUCAAAU